CCAGCAGUGCCAGCCCACCGGCGCCGUGCUAGAUUUCUCACCGGGCCUUAGCUGCCUUCCCGUGGGGCGUGGCUCGGGACCUGCAGCCCGCCAUGCCUGAGCCUCCCACCCCCUCCAUGGGCUCCUGUGCGGCCCGAGCCUCCCCGAUGAGCGCCACCCCCUGCUCCACGGCGCCCAGUCCCAUCGACCACCCAAGGGCUGAGGAGUGCGGACGCAGGGCGCAGGACUGGCACGCAGCUCCACCGGCAGCCCUGGUGCGGGAUCCACUGGGUGAAGCCAGCUGGCCUCCUGAGUCUGGUGGGGCCUUGGAGAAUCUUUAUGUCUAGCUCAGGGAUUGUAAAUACACCAAUGGGCACUCUGUCUCUAGCUCAAGUUUGUAAACACACCAAUCAGCACCCUGUGUCUACUAGCUCAGGGUUUGUGAGUGCACCAAUCGACACUCUGUAUCUAGCUACUCUGGUGGGGCCUUGGAGAACCUUUGUGUCUAUACUCUGUAUCUAACUAAUCUGGUGGGGACGUGGAGAACCUUUGUGUCUAGCUCAGGGAUUGUAAACGCACGAAUCAGCGCCCUGUCAAAACAGACCACUGGGCUCUACCAAUCAGCAGGACGUGGGUGGGGCCAGAUAAGAGAAUAAAAGCAGGCUGCCCGAGCCAGCAGUGGCAACCCGCUCGGGUCCCCUUCCACACUGUGGAAGCUUUGUUCUUUCGCUCUUUGCAAUAAAUCUUGCUACUGCUCACUCUUUGGGUCCACACUGCUUUUAUGAGCUGUAACACUCACCGCGAAGGUCUGCAGCUUCACUCCUGAAGCCAGCGAGACCACGAGCCCACCAGGAGGAACGAACAACUCCAGACGCGCCGCCUUAAGAGCUGUAACACUCACCGUGAAGAUCUGCAGCUUCACUCCUGAGCCAGCGAGACUAGGAACCCACCAGAAGGAAGAAACUCUGAACACAUCCGAACAUCAGAAGGGACAGACUCCAGACGCGCCACCUUAAGAGCUGUAACACUCACCGCGAGGGUCUGCGGCUUCAUUCUUGAAGUCAGUGAGAUCAAGAACCCACCAAUUCCGGACACAAGUGGACACUCAGAAGAAAGGCAGUUCCUACAGGGAGUUUUCAGAGAACAAAGCCUUUCCCCAUCGCGUCCCUCAUCAGAGAAGUGUUUAUGCCUGCUUGUUGAAGAGCUACCUGGACAGGGGUCAGGAGGACUUGGGAAGCCAGGGCCAACUGUGCAAAACACACUCAGUCCUGAGGUUCAUAUGACCACAUAGCACCACUAGCACUACCUCUGAAACACCUUCAGAAGGGAAACAGAUAUUUGACUCCUCAACUUUUCUGUCAGAUGUCAUCAGAAUUGGGUCUUCUGAUCUCCAUCUUUAUUGAGACCAGAAUUAGAGAAAAUAAUCUGAAGUUUCAGUUCAGAGAAGAGUUGUUUGACAGCGUUGGGGCAGGAACCUCUGUCCUAUGCCUUCUGCAUGCUUAUCUCAUUUAAUCUGCCCAGGAAGCUUUAGAAGGGAUGCUUCAGGAUGCUCCAGGCUGAGGUCUGUGAGCCCAAUGUGGCCCUGACACGAAGGUUGUAUGGCACAGUGGCCGUGAUGUCAUCAGUGACAUCACACUCAGGACCUUCAGUGAGUGAGCACCAGCUGCUGGGGAUCCAGAUGUGGCUCGUGUACAGGCUCUCGUACUCCCUGUCAAAGAGAGGAGGGCACAGAGUUACACCAGCCCCUCUGACACAGGCUCAGUUAUGGUUGCAAGUAACUGACUUCGUUCACCUACUUUGUACAGGUAAGUAAAAUAAGUACUUUCUCAUUAUCCUAGCUCCUCCACUCUCCUCCCUACCAACCAUCCAUCGUCCCUUACUCCUUUUAUUGCCAGAUAGGGAAAGCUAGGCAUAAACAUCAAUGUGUCUGGAUCUCUUUUAUCUCUUCAUCUCCAGGGUCAUCACCCUAAUCUCAGCCACUGUCAUUCCUUGCCUUGCUGUGAUCUCCCAGCUUGGACACCUGCCAUUCUCAAAACCAUUCACCACUCAGCAGAUUGUGACGUUUCUCUCCUUAAUGGCUUCCUACAGGACUUAGAAUGGGAUCCAAACUCUUGCCAGUGGUCUUACAAGAUGCUUUGGCCUUCUCUCUCACUCUGCUCCGAAGCGUGAUAUUCUUGCCACAUUGGUCAUUUCUCCAAAAUGCUGAGCACUUUUUGCCUUAGGACCUUUGACUAACUGUUCACUCCAUCUCAAACGCUCUGCCCCUGCUGUUCGCAUGGCUGGCUCCUCUUGUCCUUCAGAUAUGGCAUAAAUAUCACCUCCUCAGAGAGGCCAUCCCAGGCCAUCUAAUAUAAAGGAGCCUCAGUGUCAACUCUCUAUGGCAUCAGCCUUUUAGCUUCCUCCUAGCACUGAUUACUAUCCAAAAUUCCCUAGAGCAGUGCUUUCCAAAAAUAAACUUUCUGUGAUGAUGCAAAUAUUCUAAAUCGAUGUUGUUCAAUAUGGUAACCACUGGCCACAUGUGGCUAUUGAACACCUAAAAUGUGACUAGUGUGGCAGGAAACAGACAUUUUAAUUUAAUUUAAUUUAAUUUAAUUUAAUUUAAAUUUAAAUAGCCAGCUGUGGCUGGUGGCUACCAUACUAGAGAAUGCUGGCCUAGUAUAUUUAUCAUCUGUAUCCUCCUCUAGAUGUAAGCUCUCAAAAUCCAGAAACCUUGUCAACUGUAUCCCUGAGCCUAGAAGAAUGUCUACACAUGUAGGUGUUCAGUCUGUAUUCAUUGUUAAUGAAAUAUAUGGAGCAAUUUCUGUGUCCUUAUCACUAUUCAAUAGCUGCAAGCACCUGAACACCUGGAGAAGACUAGAGCCUGCUCAGCCCCAGGGCCAGCUGACCUUUAGGAUUAUAGUUCGUUUUGGCUCUAGGUAUAAGCUUAUAGUCAGGAAAAGUGAGGACUCCUCCACCCUUAAAGGAUCUGAGUCUCCAGUGAUUUAUCCAUCUCAAGUCAGAGUCAAACCCAUUGGACAGUUGAUUCACUUUUUAAAAUAACUCCACCAAAAUGUGUUAUGCACAUUCAUCUUCCCAGAGAGUUCACUGUCAAAUCCACAGAACAAUUUCCCUUGCUUCUUCAACUCUUUCAAUGCCUAUGCAGACAGAGGGGGUAGAUCUUUGGGGAUAAUCUAUCCCUGGACUCAAAAAGCCACCUUGGGCUCAGGAGGAAGGGCUAUGCCUUCAGGAACCAACUUCUGCUUAAGGGAGAAGAACUAUUAAAAGAAAAAACUCACCCCUGGUAUUCGACAGAAUAGUACACUGUUUCUCCAGGCGCGAUCACUG
rnacentral:lncRNA from 1 species